rnacentral:tRNA from 1 species
GCCUGGGUGGCUCAGUCGGUUAAGCGUCUGACUUCAGCUCAGGUCAUGAUCCCAGUGUCCUGGGAUUAAGUCCCAUGUCAGGCU